CCAGCAGCCGCGGUAAUUCCAGCUCCAAUAGCGUAUAUUAAAGUUGUUGCAGUUAAAACGCUCGUAGUCGGAUUUCGGGUCGGUUGCGCCGGUCUGCCGAUGGGUAUGCACUGGCGGAGUCGGCCUUUCUUCCGGAGACCGCGCCUCCUCUUAGCUGAGCGGGUGCGGGAGACGGAUCGUUUACUUUGAAAAAAUCAGAGUGUUUCAAGCAGGCAGCUCGCUCUUGCAUGGAUUAGCAUGGGAUAAUGAAAUAGGACUCUGGUGCUAUUUUGUUGGUUUCGAACACCGGAGUAAUGGUCAACAGGGACAGUCAGGGGCACUCGUAUUCCGCCGAGAGAGGUGAA
rnacentral:rRNA from 1 species